GUGCUCGCUUCAGCAGCACAUAUACUAAAAUUGGAACAAUACAGAAAAGAUUACCAUGGCCACUGCACAAUAAUGACACUCAUAUUCGUGACGCAUUCCAUAUUUUU